UGUGGGCAGGCCAGGGGAACCGCAGAGUAGCUACGUUGGGAAGGGAUAAGCGCUGAAAGCAUAUAAGCGCGAAACCCACCACAAGAUGAGAUUUCUUUUAAAGGUCGUGGGAGAUGACCACGUUGAUAGGCUAUAGGUGUAAAGGCAGUAAUGUCAUAGCCGAGUAGUACUAAUAACCUGUAAGCUUAUGUACA
rnacentral:rRNA from 1 species